GUAAAAGUUGAAUUGUAUUGAAAAGGACCAUGUAUGGCCAUGUAGUGCAUUUGAGCACUGACACCCCUUUUUUUUACAUUUUAGAGAGGCAACACUCGAAAGCUACAUCAAGGACACCGGAGGAUGGACCAGAAGACCUGAGACCAAGACGACCCAAGCCCAACCCAUAGUAUGCUUCACUGACAAAUGUUGAUGCUUCAUCAUCACAUAGACCAAAGGUUUCAGAGAAGGCUGGUAGAGCUCUCUAUGAGUGUGAGCUGUGGGAGAACCAAUAACUGACAACCACCUACAGAAGAGGUGGCGAUAAUGGCUCUCCAAGAGGAGGUUGUGAGUCUGAAGGCUUUUAUUCAACAAGGAGGCACUUAGAGGGAAUGCCUGGACCCUGAGAGGACUAAGACAAUUGAGGCCACCCUGAAGCAGUUCCCAGGCCAGACACUCACUCCAGAUUGCUGGGCCAGGCAAUAAAUGCCAAAGUGACAGAACUGAGGUUCCAUAACAAAAACAAAGAUUUUCAAUAAAAUAGAAUAAAAGAUAACAGAAGUGUUGUGUGUUUCUUCCUCUUUAUACUGAUACUAUGGUUAAUUUUAAGUAAAC